GCGCCCAUAGCUCAGCCCGGAUAGAGCAGCGGACUACGGAUCCGUGCGCGGGGGUUCAAAUCCUCCUGGGCGCGCCA
rnacentral:tRNA from 1 species